rnacentral:rRNA from 1 species
UACGGGGGGGGCAAGCGUUGUUCGGAAUUACUGGGCGUAAAGGGUUCGUAGGUGGCUUGCUAAGUCAGACGUGAAAUCCCUCAGCUUAACUGGGGAACUGCGUCUGAGACUGGUGAGCUUGAGUGCAGGAGAGGAACGCGGAAUUCCAGGUGUAGCGGUGAAAUGCGUAGAUAUCUGGAGGAACACCAAUGGCGAAGGCAGCUCGCUGGGACGGUACUGACGCUGAGGCGCGAAAGCGUGGGGAGCAAACAGG